rnacentral:tRNA from 1 species
CAAGAAGUAGUUUAAUUAGAAUAUCAGCUUUGGGUGCCGAUGGUGGGGAAUAGAUUCCUUCUUCUUGA